rnacentral:piRNA from 1 species
UCCUUGUUCUGAGGAACUUUCAUGCUGGC